AGGAGGCCCCGGGGGUCGCCGCGCGGGCCGCACGCACGUGGAGCGCUGGGGAGCGGACGCCGCGGCCGGAGCGGGAGCAGACAUAGAUUUCUUGUAAGAAAUGAAGCACCCGGGUACAUGCAGAGAGGCUAACAACAGUAAACAAAUAUUGAUUGCGCCUAGCCAACUCCUUUGAGAUAAAAGGCAUCAGACCCCAAGUCCUCCAGGCGGUUCCAUGAUUAAAUGAUUCUAGAGCUGGCUUCCUUACUGCAGGCUGAGCAGCUCCCUUGUUCUGGAUGGAGGUAUUUUCUGUCUUGGACAUUCGACAUCUUGAAAGCAAGGAUGUCUCAGAGGUGAGAGAAACACAUAACCACUGGGGUGAAUUGCAUAACGAUUGGAGGUUUUCCCUAAUUCUAUUAUCUGUGAUUAAAAACCUAAGAUCUGCAAUGCAGUCUACUCCCAGGAAGUCAUCGACAACAACUGAAAUCUACUCUUAUCUCUUGUCUAUGAAGCCACCGCAGCAUUUCUACUCUGGAGGACUCUAAUCCUCUCACCCUGGAAUGCCCAUCUUCCUCCAGAGUGACUUCCAACUUUGCUCAUAUCUCAGACUAUUUCUAUGUGAAUAAUUCAACCACUUCUUUACACCUGCAGAAUGAGUUUUUACCAAGACUGAAUGAAUGAACAUUAUAAGAUACUUCUAUAAAUCCCUCAUUUCUUCCUUUUGAAUCAGUGGCUCCCAACCUCUGAGUAUUUUCUCUUCAAUUUUAAUUUUAUUGUUUUUCUUUGUCUUUAAGUUUCACUCAGUCAGUUUUGGUAAUAUUUUUCACAAAGGAUGAACUAUGAAAAUAAAUGAUACAAAGUAAGCCA
rnacentral:lncRNA from 1 species